rnacentral:rRNA from 1 species
UACGGGGGGAGCAAGCGUUGUUCGGAUUUACUGGGCGUAAAGGGCGCGUAGGCGGCGUGACAAGUCACUUGUGAAAUCUCCGGGCUUAACUCGGAACGGUCAAGUGAUACUGUCGUGCUAGAGUACAGAAGGGGCAACUGGAAUUCUCGGUGUAGCGGUGAAAUGCGUAGAUAUCGAGAGGAACACCUGCGGCGAAGGCGGCUUCCUGGACCAAGACUGACGCUGAGGCGCGAAAGCGUGGGGAUCAAACAGGAUUAGAUACCCUUGUAGU